GAUGAACGCUGGCGGCGUGCUUAACACAUGCAAGUCGAACGAUGAAGCCAGCUUUCUGGGUGGAUUAGUGGCGAACGGGUUGGUAACACGUUAGUAACCUGCCCUUAACUCUGGGAUAAGCCUUGGAAACUGGGUCUAAUACCGGAUAGGAGCGUCCACCGCAUGGUGGGUGUUGGGAAGAUUUAUCGGUUUUGGAUGGACUCGCGGCCUAUCAGCUUGUUGGUGAGGUAAUGGCUCACCAAGGCGACGACGGGUAGCCGGCCUGAGAGGGUGACCGGCCACACUGGGACUGAGACACGGCCCAGACUCCUACGGGAGGCAGCAGUGGGGAAUAUUGCACAAUGGGCGCAAGCCUGAUGCAGCGACGCCGCGUGAGGGAUGACGGCCUUCGGGUUGUAAACCUCUUUCAGUAGGGAAGAAGCGAAAGUGACGGUACCUGCAGAAGAAGCACCGGCUAACUACGUG
rnacentral:rRNA from 1 species